rnacentral:lncRNA from 1 species
CCAGCCCCUGUCCGAGGAGGCUCGGGUUCCUCCCAAGUCCUCAACUCGAAUGGAGGCCCCCAACUCCAAACAUUCCAUUCCCUCCUGCAAUUGAUCCCCCAAACUCAUAGAAUCACUUGCAAGCAAUCAAUCCCCAUCAUCACAGUGUAUACAAGUAUGCAUAUAAUUAAAAUCGCGUACGACAAGUGAAGGAAAAGAGAUAAAGGGAGGUAGUUACAGUGGUGCAAUCGGAACUAUCGCUGGAAGAAGGGUGAAGGCAAUCGGACGGAGGGUUUGUAAGGCGGUGGUGCGAGAGAGAUACAAGGUUCGAGAGGAAACGAGAGAGAUUGAGAGAUUGAAGGGAGAAUAGGAGGUUAACCCUUCUGUUUUCUAUUUUGGGAUCAUAUAUAAAAAAAUUCUUUUGCCCCUUGCUUUAUAUUAAAACAAUUAUAAAAUCCAAGGGUAAACUGGUAAUCUGAUAAUAUGAAUGAUGAAAUCUUGUUGUAAAUAGAAUUUUU